rnacentral:lncRNA from 1 species
UUUUUUUUUGUUUAUUUGUUUUUUCCUACUGUACAGCAUGGUGACCCGGUUACCUUACAUGUGUGCAUUCAUUUUUCUCACGUUACGUGUUCCAUCGUAAGUGCCUUCGGGAUGGAUUAGCAAUGGGAUCCUUCUUUUUAUCAUUGGGAACUCUGUCUAGUCACUUAUGAUGGUAUGUCUUUUUCUACUCCUCUUCCCUGCUUUGUUAGAAGGCUGAUUGAUGGCUGGACCUCAAGCAGAGAUCUUGAACCAAGAGCUGGCAGUCACAGGUGGAGGAUGGUGUGAAAACAGUAUCGAAAGAGACUAGGUUUUUCGUUUUGUUUUGUUUUGUUUUCUGCAGGUGGCAUUUUUAUUUUUUAGACCUUUUUCCUGACAGUUUUACCAAAAUAUAAUUGAAACACAGCACGAUAAGUUUAAGGUGUUCAGUGUAAUGAUUUCACUUGCAUUUAUCAUGAAAAGAUUAUCACAGGAAAUUUAGUAAACAUUUGUCUCAUAAGGUACAAAGUGAAAUAAAAUAUUUCCUUGUGAUAAGGACUCUUAGGAUUUACCCUAUUUUUGUAUAUAACAUACAGUAGCGUUAAUUAUACGUAUCAUGUUGUACAUUACACCCCUUUUCCUGAUCUUUUUUUAUUACUCAAUGAAUUUAUUACAUUUAUAGUUAUACAGUGAUCAUCACAACCCAAUUUUAGAGCAUUUCUAUCCCAAACCCCCAGCACAUCCCCUACCCCCCAACCGAUAUCCUUUGGAAACCAUACGUUUUUCAAAGUCCGUGAGUCAGUAUCUGUUCUGCAAAGAAGUUCAGUGUGUCCUUUUUUUCAGAUUGCACAUGUCAGUGAUAGCAUUUGAUGUUGGUGUCUCAUUGUUUGACUGAUUUCACUUAGCAUGAUAAUUUCUAGGUCCAUCCAUGUUGCUGCAAAUGGCAUCAUUUCUUUGCUUUUAAUGGCUGAGUAAUGUUCCAUUGUGUAUAUGUACUACAUCUUCUUGAUCCACUUCUCUGUCGAUGGGCAUUUAGGUUGUUUCCAUGUCUUGGCUAUUGUAUAGAGUGCUGC